rnacentral:rRNA from 1 species
GCUGGCUGUAUGCCUAACACAUGCAAGUCGUACGAGAGUUUUUAACUCUAGUGGCGGACGGGUGAGUAACACGUGAGAAUUUGCCUUUAGGAGGGGGACAACAAUUGGAAACGAAUGCUAAUACCCCAUAUGCUUUCGAGUGAAAUGGAUUUAUAUUUAUCCGCCUAGAGAGAAGCUCGCGGCUGAUUAGCUUGUUGGUAAGGUAAGAGCUUACCAAGGCGACGAUCAGUAUCUGGUUUGAGAGGACGAUCAGACACACUGGAACUGAGACACGGUCCAGACUCCUACGGGAGGCAGCAGUGGGGAAUUUUCCGCAAUGGGCGAAAGCCUGACGGAGCAAUACAGCGUGAGGGAAGACUGCCUAUGGGUUGUAAACCUCUUUUUUCAGGGAGGAAUAAAUGACGUGUACCUGAAGAAUAAGCAUCGGCUAACUCCGUGCCAGCAGCCGCGGUAAGACGGAGGAUGCAAGUGUUAUCCGGAAUCACUGGGCGUAAAGCGUCUGUAGGUGGUU